rnacentral:lncRNA from 1 species
CUGCCUGGAGCUCUGUCUCAGCUGCUGUUAUGAAAGGAGGCAGGGUGUCUCCGUCAGCACCUUGUUUUGAUUCAGAGGGGUAAGCCAGCUUCCAGCCUACACUGCUCAGAAUUGUUUUUCUCAGCUCUGUCAACGCCUCUGAGCUCCUCGCUGCAAGCAAGAGGACAGGGUCACCCCGAGCC